AAACACACGCAAUAAAAAUGGUAAAAAACACAAUCAGAGGUCCAAACAAUAAAUAACUACUCUAACAUAAUAAACAACUAUCCCAACAAAAUUAAUGAACUAACACUCGCUAGUAUAAAUAAUAAACAAGUUGUUAAUAAUACUAAUCAUAAAAAUAGUAUAUAUUAUAAUGAAAUAAAAAAUAAACUUUAUAAAGAGGGAAAAACAGAAGAAUAUAAAAAAAAGAACUAUGAUAUGCAUGUUAUGAGUAAUCCCUUUGGUAAUAUUAAUACAACAAAUGUUCCUAUUAAUGAAAAUAUACAUUUAAUAAAUAAUCACACCCAUAUAAAUAAUAAUAAUGAAGAUAGUGAUAAUGUAAUACCAUUUUAUAAAAAUAACAAUAUAGCUUUUAGAGAUGAUAACAUAGACACCUCAAUAGAUUUUAAAAAACAAAAAAACAAUAAUAUUAACAAAGAAAAUACUCCUAACAAUAAUAAAUACAUAUCGAAUAUAAGCAGUAAUAGUAGUAUAAAUUAUGAUGUAAGUUAUGAAAACAGUUACCAUAAAGAAAAAGGAUAUAAUUAUUAUAACAAUAGUAAUGAUAAAUCGGAAUAUGUAUCAAACCACAAAUAUAACGCAAUUAAAAAUGACGAAAAUGGUAAUAUAAAAAAUACAAAUGAUAAUGUAAAUGAUAUAAAUGAUAAUAUAAAUAAUAUAAAUGAUAAUAUGCCAAAUUUCCAGUUUAACAAUGAUUAUUUACAAUAUGAACAAAAAAACAUGACAUUUAUAAAUAAAAAUGUUACUACCAUACCAUAUUAUAACUAUGAAAAUAUAAAUUAUCCUAUAAAAAAUGAAGAAGGACAUGGUGAGAUAAUAACUAACAAACAAUAUCCAAACGGAUAUAUGUUUAAUGAAAAUAUACAAUACAAUGGAUUGAACACCAGUAUUAGCUCUAAUUCGAGUUAUCAACAUGACAUUACGUUAAUAAAUCCAAAUGGAUUUAUAGCGAAUAAUGAUAUUAGUCAUUAUAAUUAUAGUAAUAAUAACAACAUCGGAAAAAGCAACAGUAACAACAUUGGAAGUAGUAACAGUAACAACACUGGAAGUAGUAACAGUAACAAUACUGGAAGUAGUAACAUUAACAACAUUGGAAGUAGUAACAUUAACAAUACUGGAAGUAGUAACAUUAACAACACUGGAAGUAGUAACAUUAACAACAUUGGAAGUAGUAACAUUAACAACAUUGGAAGUAGUAACAUUAACAACAUUGGAAGUAGUAACAUUAACAACAUUGGAAGUAGUAACAGUAAUAGUAACAAAAUCGACAGUACUAAG
rnacentral:lncRNA from 1 species